rnacentral:rRNA from 1 species
CAGCCGCCGCGGUAAUACCGGCGGCCCGAGUGGCGGUCACUAUUAUUGGGCUUAAAGCGUCCGUAGCCGGGUUGGUUAGUCUCCCGGGAAAUCUGGCCGCUUAACGGUCAGAAUUCCGGGAGAUACUGCCAGCCUAGGGACCGGGAGAGGCCGAGGGUAUUCCCGGGGUAGGGGUGAAAUCCUAUAAUCCCGGGAGGACCACCUGUGGCGAAGGCGCUCGGCUGGAACGGGUCCGACGGGGAGGGACGAAGGCCAGGGGAGCAAACCGGAUUAGAUACCCGGGUAGUCCUGGCUGUAAACGAUGCGGACUUUGUGUCGGACAAGCUAUGAGCUUGUCCGGUGCCGGAGGGAAACCGUUAAGUCCGCCGCCUGGGGAGUACGGCCGCAAGGCUGAAACUUAAAGGAAUAGGCGGG